rnacentral:rRNA from 1 species
GGACAGAAAGACCCUAUGAAGCUUGACUGUAGCCUGAGAUUGGGUUUGGGCUCCUCUUGCGCAGCCUAGGUGGGAGGCUUUGACCGCCUGCUUCCGGGGAGGCGGGAGCCGCCUGUGAGAGACCACCCUUGAGGAGCAUAGAUUCUAAUGGCGAUCCUGGAACCAGGACGGUUGACAGUCCCAGGUGGGCAGUUUCACUGGGGCGGUGGCCUCCUAAAGGGUAACGGAGGUGUGCAAAGGUCCCCUCAGGCUGGACGGGAAUCAGUCGCCGAGUGUAAAGGCAGAAGGGGGCUUGACUGCAAGACCCACAAGUCGAGCAGGGGCGAAAGCCGGCCUUAGUGAUCCGACGGCACCCUGUGGAAGGGCCGUCGCUCAACGGAUAAAAGUUACUCUAGGGAUAACAGGCUGAACUCUAGGGAUAACAGGCUGAGCAGGCUGACUCUAGGGAUAAAGGCUGACCCUGGACAGAAAGACCCUAUGAUGACUCACUCUAGGGAUAACAGGCUGA